GACGAACGCUGGCGGCGUGCUUAACACAUGCAAGUCGAACGGAAAGGCCCUGCUUUUGUGGGUUGCUCGAGUGGCGAACGGGUGAGUAACACGUGAGUAACCUGCCCUUGACUUUGGGAUAACUUCAGGAAAAUGGGGCUAAUACCGGAUAGGAGCUCCUGCUGCGUGGUGGUGGUUGGAAAGUGUCGGCGGUUGUGGAUGGACUCGCGGCUUAUCAGCUGGUUUGGGUAGUAGGGGCUUACCAAGGCUUUGACGGGUAGCCGGCAUGAGAGGGUGGACGGACACAUUGGGACUGAGAUACGGACCAGACUCCUACGGGAGGCAGCAGUGGGGAAUCUUGCACAAUGGGCGGACGCCUGAUGCAGAAACGCCGCGUGCGGGAUGACGGCCUACGGGUUGUAAACAGCUUUCGCCUGUGACGAAGAGUGAGUGACGGUAAUGGGUAAAGAAGCAACGGCUAACUACGUG
rnacentral:rRNA from 1 species